GGAGGAAUGGCCGAGUGGUUGAAGGCGGCGGUCUUGAAAACCGCAAGGCUCGCAAGGGUCUCGGGGGUUCGAAUCCCUCUUCCUCCGCCA
rnacentral:tRNA from 2 species